AAAAAAUUCUGAUGAUGUUUUGUUUAAAAGUAGCAACACUAGCUACAAUUCUUGCUCUUGCUAGAGUUCAGGCCAGAAAUAUUCCUGGAUAUGCAACGAACAUUGUAGUACUCCGUCCAUCCCACAAGAAUGAUCAUGAUGAUAAUCCGAGUAUCAAGGGAGAAACUUUAUUUAAAUUGCAUAGCAUUUGCAAUUCCAUUUCCAUCGGGAUAGCUCAUCACUCAGAAUCGAGUAAUCUUGGCAAAGACGCGCUGCCGCCGCCGCCGCCGCCGCAAGCAGGCACUGGACCGAGAGAGCUUAGUUCAUACAUACAAAUGCCGCUGAAAUCAACAUUUUCUGAAAAAUAUUAGUGUAGUUUGUGUGAAAGGCUUUUGCUGUGGGGUUAAUGGUCCUCACAGGAUUAUGUCUUGACUAUCUUUUUAUCUUUGUAUUGACGUUUCUCAA